AAACCUCAUGGCAAGGUCAGAGAUUUGUGAUUGAGAGAAUCCCUGAUUCUCAAGUAACGCAAUUAGAGCCUUCCCAUUAUUCUCGAGCUGAACAGCAUUAGAAGACAACGAAGCAGAUUUGGGAGAUGAUACAAUCUCAGAAGAGGUGGAUAAGUAUCUGAGAGAUUUGAACGGACUUUGGGAAAAUCCGUGAGAAAAGAGUGAGGAUGGAGAUCUAAGUAGAAGGAUUGUGCGAAAGAAGUUAGACAUGAGUGUAAGAAGUGGGAGGAGAAGGAAGACAGACCUGUUGGUUCCUUGUUGAGAAGAAGAAUGGGAGAAACUAGCAAUGCCUCACAAGAGGAUGAAGCUAUGAGAGAAGAGAAAAGAAAAAUUGGCGACGGCGGGGUAUCGGCGAUCGGCAGAGUGGGAGAGUGAGAGAGUGAGAGAGUGAGAGAGAACAAAGAAAAUGAGAAAAUGAAGGAAGGAAGGGGUUUAGGGUUUUUGAAGGGAAAUGGUCGAAAGUAGAUUUUUUUAAAACCAACCCGUUUCUGAAUACUCGAUAGAAAAAAACAAAAGACAAAGUUGAAGUCUAAUGGGAAAGAAAGUUUUGGACACCAAAUUUUAAAAGGAAGAGUUUUGGGACAAAUGUACAUGUAGAUGUUUAAAUUACCCUUUAGUUUUAAAAAAAAACCUCUAAAAUAUUGAACGCAAUUUCUUUCUCAUGCAACACAUACUAUUCCACGCUGGUGAACUCUCACAGGUGACUCCAUUUAAAAUUUGGUCUCCAAAACUCUAGUCCAAACCAGCUACCAUCUAGAGUUGUAAAUGGUCAAAAACCAAACCAUGUGACUUUAACUGAGGUUUGAAGGAAAAUCUCUGUGCUAAAUCAGUGUAUUUAAUGAUGUUUUGAGUUUAAUGGAGAAUGGACUUGAGUUUUGAGUUCUCUCAGCUGGAAUGAAGAAUCAAAACUUAACAAAUUGUUCAUUUUCUUAAAAAAAAAUCCAUCAUUAAGAAAAAAACCACACUGAUAAAGUUGAAAAAAUCUUGAAAUGAGGCAAAUAAAAGUUGAAAUAACUAAGAAAGAAAAGUUUUUGAAACAACAAUUAGAUUGUUAAAAUUGAGAUUCAAAUUAUAAUUUAUACACCACAAGUAUAUACAUGAGAUUCGACCGCUUUGGACUUCUAAGAUCAACAUGCUACCGAACAUGGAUUAAAGAAGUGUUUGUUCACAAAAAUCCGAAUAAGGUACAACCAUCUUUCUUACAAGCAUUUCAUCAAACACAUUAUGGGCGUAACUUGGAAUUUUCCGUUGUUCGUCACAUUACAACCAACUAAAUACACGAAUUAAGGAUUUCAGUAUAUGAAGAAACCAAUUAUGCAACACCCAUUAACUAACUGUUAAAAUUAAUUGCAAUAACAAAACAAAAAUUCUAAAAUACAAGAAAAGAAAAGAAGAAAAAAUAACCUGGUGUCAAUUAUUGAAAGAGUGGCCGGAAGUUGAAGGUGUGUGUGAACGCUGGGUGCUAAGUCACUGGGCGUGAUGGAUGGGUCACCAUGGGCGUUCGGGUGGUAGGGGCUUCAUGGAGACUUUCUUUGUUCCUGAAAGAUGGAAAGUGAAAAACUAGAGGAGGAGUUGUUCUCUUUUUUUUAAAAAAAAAACGUCUUCAAGAAAUGUUCGGAUGUGAAAAAUAUUUUGAAAAUUCGCCUACUUUUCAUAAAAAUUCUUGACAUUUGCAAAACGUAAAGAAAAUACAUAUUAUUUGACGUUUUUAAAUGUCAAGAAAAGUUCUAGCAUUAAAUUUUUUUCAAAAGAUUACCCAUAUCCGCCUUUUCAUAAAAUCAGUGAUGUUAUUGACCUUUUCAUAAAAUUUGGACAUUUUACCUUUGAAAUCACGAAUUUUUUAAUAUUUUAUUUCUAAAAACGGUCAAAUAUUUAAAUCAUAAACAUUAAGAGAGUCUAUUUUUUUCAAGUAGUAUUGAAAUUUUAAAACAAAAGCUCACAAUCUCGAUGUAGAGAGAAAUUAUGUAAAAACGAUUUUUUAAAAUUUGAGAAGAAUCGCAAUGUCGAGGGACAAAAUAGAUCGAGAUAAACAAAUUUAGUAGCUUUUGAAAAUAUAUGUAAAAGUAAAAGUGUGCUACUCCUCACAAAUUUUCCCAAAAUUUUUCCAUUUAUUUUUAAGAGUUAUCAUAAUGUAGUUUUGAAAAACAUUAUAAAAACAAUUAAGUUAAAAUAAAUUAUUUAAAAUAACAAAGAAAUAUUUCAUAUUAUUUUAUCAGUUACGUCUCUUAUUCUUUGUUAAUAAUUGCAAUUAACCUCUUUUUUAAUUAAGAUAAUUAGACAUUCUAAAAUUAACAAAGGAAAAUCUCUUUCUUCUCUCCAUCCAUCUUCAUCUUCUCUUCCUCUCCCUCUUUUAUGAAAAACAAAUAAACUAAACAAUUCAAACCUUUUACAAAGCAUAACCCUUCACAAUAUAGUAUAUUUCCUCGUCACAACGCUUGUUCUUCUCUCUUCCCUCUUUAUUCUUUUUCUCUCGUUCUCUUCUUCUUCCCUGCUGUUUUCCCUUCUUUUCUUUUCUCUCUCAUAUUUUAUUGCGUUUGAAAUUGACCAAAAUCUACCCAAAAAAAUAUAUGAUUGUUGGUUUAAAAAUUGUUAAUCUUUGAUUCUAAUACUUGUAUAUACAUAUAUAUCUAUUUUAGAUAGCAAAAAAGUGAUAAUGUAGAAACACAGACUCUUGAAUGUAUAUAAAUCUUAGUUCUCACUACACAUAUCAACUAACAAAACAGUUAAACAUUAAAAUUUCAAGGAGAUCGAACCUGUUCAUCUUCUAAAUCCAUUAAUUUCUCUUUAUACAACUCCAACAAUUCAGGAAUCUGCUCCUUAUGAGGGUUGAUGAAUUUGUCUAUGAAAAGGUUUGCAGAAGAGUUAAAAAACAAAGCAAAAUGCGCGUACUUCUUAAUCAAACACUUUGACACCAAAACUUGAUAAACGUAGCCUCUAGGCAAAAUCCUCUUCUUCAAACUAUAUGAAACUAAAGUUGGUGUUCUAGCAACCAAAAAUGGUUCACAUCCCAUUUUGUUGACAAAAAAAUCCAUUGCACCAUUAAUCUUAUCCUCAGAAGCACUCAUACAACGUGGAUUUUUUCUAAAAGCUAAACGGAUCUCUUCUUCAGACAAUCCCCAUUUCCUAUAACCUUCAACCUUCUCAUCCCAUGUAGAUUUGGUCAUUGAUCGCAGAGCAAAAACAGCAACAACAAACUGCAAUCGUUGAGGGUUGAAUCCCAUUUCCGUAACUCUCUCUACAGCCUUCUUGAAUCGGAUGGAACUUGUUAAGAACAUUUUAGGCUGCCGCUGAAGAUAACUUGAAAUAUUUGAAUCCGGCACUCCAAUUUGUUUCAGAAUUUCAAUAUUGGGACCAACUGAAGUUCGAAGAUCCCAACCGAGAAUACCCGGAAAGCGCUUUAUAGCAGUGAGAGUCUUCUCCUCACUUCCAAGCACGGCUUGAAUGUAAUCAAAGGAUGGAAUAAUUCGUUUGUUUAAACUUCCUGUUAAAACACAGGGAACUGAACAUACUAAUUUGACAAUCUCUGGGGAAGAAAGACCUUUAGAUUGAAAAAACAACAAUUUGGGCGAUAGGAUUUUCUCGGGGUUCAUAGAAAUAAUUUGAGGAUACCUCUUGGCAAGGUCAGAGAUUUGUGAUUCAGAGAAUCCAUGAUUCGCAAGUAACCCAAUUACAGCCUUCGAAUUAUUAUUGAGCUGAACAGCAUUAGAAGGCAACGAAGCAGAUUUGGGAGAUGAUACAAUCUCAGAAGAGGUGGAUAAGUAUCUGAGAGAUUUGAACGGACUUUGGGAAAAUCCGUGAGAAAAGAGUGAGGAUGGAGAUCUAAGUAGAAGGAUUGUGCGAAAGAAGUUAGACAUGAGUGUAAGAAGUGGGAGGAGAAGGAAGACAGACCUGUUGGUUCC
rnacentral:lncRNA from 1 species